AAAGUCGUAACAAGGUUUCCGUAGGUGAACCUGCGGAAGGAUCAUUAAUAAAUAUACUGUGACCCGCAAGGGUCUAAUGUAUCCACCCUUUGUGAAACUUCUAUUUUUGCUUCGGCAGCGCUCCCAGUGGUUAACACCUGCUGGUGGGAUAAGGCUGUCAGAAGACCCAACAAAACUAGUUUGAUGAAAUGUCAUGCAGUCUGAUAACCAUUUUUUGAGAAAUCAAAUUAUGUUAAAACUUUCAGCAACGGAUCUCUUGGUUCUC
rnacentral:misc_RNA from 1 species